UAGAGUAGGCGUGUCACUGUGGGCGUAACUUUAAAACCUUUGUCUUAGCUGCCUGGAAGUCAGUCUUCCACUUGCAGCCUUCAGAUGAAGAUGUAGAACUCUCAGCUCCUCCUGCGCCAUGCCUGCCUGGAUGCUGCCACGUUCCUGCCUCGAUGAUAAUGGACUGAACCUCUGAACCUAGAUGUGAAACACAAUGUCCUGCAAGCUCUGAGCCAUGCUUUAGAGAAAGAAGAAUUCACUGGAAGCACAGGUUCAUGUCAUGUUGCCAAGACUAGCCUCGAACUCAUGCUCAGGCCGGCUGUAAUCCCAGCACUUAGAAGGCUAAGGCAAGGGCAUCUUGGUUAGAAGCCAGCCUGGACUAUGGCCAAGAGGAGUGGGAAUCCAC